rnacentral:rRNA from 1 species
AGAGCGAACGUUAGCGGCGGGCCUAACACAUGCAAGUCGAACGAGAAUGAGGGGCAACUCCUCUAGUAAAGUGGCGGACGGGUGCGUAACACGUGGGUAAUCUACCUUCCAGUGGGGGACAACCUUCCGAAAGGAGGGCUAAUACCGCAUACGUCGGCGAGGACUCAGGUUCUUGCCGGGAACGAUGGCCUCUGCAUGCAAGCUGUCGCUGGAAGAUGAGCCCGCGGCCCAUCAGCUAGUU